rnacentral:tRNA from 1 species
UUGAGGAUAUAGCUCAGUGGUAGAGCACUUGCCUAGCAUGUAUGAAGUUCUGAGUUCCAUUCUCAUUCCCUAAC